GAUGAAGAACGCAGCGAAAUGCGAUAAGUAAUGUGAAUUGCAGAAUUCAGUGAAUCAUCGAAUCUUUGAACGCACAUUGCGCCCGCCAGUAUUCUGGCGGGCAUGCCUGUUCGAGCGUCAUUUCAACCAUCAAGCCCCAGGCUUGUGUUGGAGCCCUGCGGCUGCCGCAGCCUCCCAAAACCAGUGGCGGGCUCGCUAUCACACCGAGUGCAGUAGUUUACUCUUCGCUCAGGGCGUGUGGCGGGUGCUAGCCGUAAAACCCCCAACUUCUCAAGGUUGACCUCGGAUCAGGUAGGAAUACCCGCUGAACUUAAGCAUAUCAUAAGCGGAGGA
rnacentral:misc_RNA from 1 species